UAUUCAGUUCCUCUGUAACACCCCGGUCAUGGGUUCCAAAGGAAACCAGACUAAACCGGCAGUAUUAUCUAACCUAACCAAUAAUUCCUGAAUAAUCCUUAAAUCUUAUUCCAAAUCAAACCAAAUCCAGUCUUACAAUAGAAAUGAAUAACUUGAAUAAAUCCGAAAAUAAUCAUAAAACAAUAUCUUAAAAGAAAAUACAAAAAAAAAGUUCCUAAAGCGAUAAAAAUCUUCCUCCAUCUCUAAAAGCACACCACACUAGAGCUACUCGUCUAGUUCCUCCCAGACAUCAUCACAAUCACAUUCAUCACACUCACCUGAAAGACGGAUUUAUAAGAGAGGGGUGAGUAAUUUGGGGAAAUUACUCAGUGAGAACCAAACCAGACUCCCUUCCCACUCAUUUAUUUUCCACCAACAUGUCAAGAAUAAAUCCAACAAGCAACACACAAGCAUCCUAGCGAUGCACAAACAACUAGCCGGCAAUGAUGUCUCCAACCCGCCUAUCACACAAGGCCACACCUCCCAGUCACACAGCUUCACAAUAUUUAGUUGCUCUGUAACACGCCGGUCCUGGGUUCCAAAGGAAACCAGACUAAACCGGCAGUAUUAUGUAACCUAACCAAUAAUUCCUGAAUAAUCCUUAAAUCUUAUUUCAAAUCAAGCCAAAUCCAGUCUUACAAUAGAAAUGAAUAACUUGAAUAAAUCCGAAAAUAAUCAGAAAACAAUAUCUUAAAAGAAAAUACAAAAAAAAGUUCUUAAAGCGAUAAAAAUCUUCCUCCCUCUCUAAAAGCACA
rnacentral:lncRNA from 1 species